UUUCUCUUUCUCUCUCUUCAAGCCCCCCUCCUCCCCCCUCCACGUUCAUCAUCUUCCCUAAACGCGUUAGUGGAGCACAAACCAGAAGCAGCCUUAAUCUGUCAACAUGCCCUUUAAUUGGAGGGAGAAAACAACACGUGCUUCUGGUUAUGCCAUUCCUAAGUGCACAUGCCAAAGAAACACAGAGUUCAUGGAAGAAGUGAUCCCGGGAGAGCAGGGCAUAAUUAAAAGUAUCUUUUAAUAGGCUUGUAAUGCUGAGCCUGACUCUUGUUGCUUUAAGUAGAGGGCGAACUCUGUGGCUGGAGACGGACAUGCAAGGGGCUUCUGCUGAGGGAGCCUGUAAACGAUACAUUGCCUCGUCGUCAUCAGACAUGCAGUCUCUGCCUCAGUCACCACACUCGAGAUGACAGCCACUUUCCACCCCUGCCGCGGACACCUUGGCUUACCCGUUGCCGUGUUCUUUUGUUCUCAGAAUGAGAGAUUCUCCUCCACGACAUCACUUCUCCUCAUCUCCUUCCCAGCCACUUUGGCAAGUUGUGUUCUACCUCCUACUCACAGCACCAGCGGGGAGUGAGAACUGGGACUAAGAGGUUGAUUUGGGGCCUGCUACACUGUAAUCAAAUGAGACUGCUUAGGGGAGAGGAGAAGGAGGAGUCCCGGUAGCCAUGUUUCAUAAACACGGAAUGGGAAACAUCCUCAGCAUUAGAAAUUUAGAUUGCUGCUUUCCUCCUGCCACUCUGCAUUCCGCACGUGCCCGGUCGCAUUCUCCAUCUCCCAAUGCUGAGUAACCAUUUUGUCCGACAUCUGACACACUGCCCUGGGUUAUUGAGCCAGACGUGGAAAUCCAAAGCGGAGAUGCUCUCCUUAAUGCCUGACACCUGGUGCAGAUUUGGAAGGGAUUGCACUACAGGUACUGUCUUACCUCUUCACCAAUCCCAGAAAGUCCCUUAGGUAUUUCCUUUUCUUUCCACGGCUGUGUUUGUUUCUACUCUUCUUUGCCACCCAGGUAUCAAGCCUCUGUUAGCUGGCCCCUGUGUUGGGAUUAAGUUCAGAAGGUGUUGAAAAAGGAUACCUAUCAUCCCUUUGAUAAAUACGAUUCUGAUUUGUUCAGGUAUUUUUAAGGCCUCAAAAAAUAUAAGUAGGAUUAAAAACCUUUCUAAGUAUACGUUACAUUUUCAGUGGGAUAAAAUGAAAGAAAGAUUUCCUGUCCAGGAGCCAGAGCUUUUUUUUUUCUACUUUAAAAAUAAAGUAAAUGAUAGCAAUUGAAGAAAGAGCGCAAUGCUGUCACUGAUAAGUUAAAUCUGACAGUUCUUUCAUUUGACAAAAAAUGAGUUCAGUUUUCUGGAAUGAUUACUGAAACAUGUCUGAUGUUAAUAUUAUUAAACUGCUAAUUCCACUUCUGAUCCUGUUAUUUGUUCUUCUCUUGCCACACCCUCUGUCAGGGUAUGCUUUACAAGUGGACGCUACUCUGGAGUGUUGCAGCUCACCUUACCGCUUGCAGUCACAUCUGCAGACUGUGCUGGAGCAGAAUGGCUAGCGAACAUAAACACAGCAAGGACAUCAAAGGCCGGCAGGUUGGGCUAUACCACCUGAGCAUGCUGAUUGCAGUGCAGUUCAGUAUCAUCUGACUGGUGAAAACAGAGGAUUUUGUUGCACCAAGUUGAGACAUUUAACAGAAGGUUCCAACCAGAAUUUUUUGUUUAUUUGUUUAAAAAAAUAAAAAUAAAUGAAUAAAUAAAAGCUCAAAACACAAGCCUUUUGGCCUAUGAAUGGCAAAUUAUAAUUCAGUCCUGGAUAACUCAAGCAACACAGAUAAACUGUGAGCUGUACGCCACAAUAAUGUAACAGUCUUUCCUGGAUAAUAAUAUAAUAAGCAAGAUAAGCAAGUGCACACUUGGUGAGCUUCAUAGGCACACUGUUUAUGUUGACACAUGCAACUCUCUUCCUGAUGCAAAUGCAAUCUAAACAUUAAGCAAAGGGAAGGCAAGCGUAGCCCAUAAAGGCUGUGAGCUCCAAACACUUUGAACAGACAACUAUCACUAAUCACUCCCAGAGCAGUGCGGCGUGUAAUUACUCUGCCAAACGUUUGCCUUUCACAGCUUAGCACUAGGAGCCCUGACCCUGCGCUUCCCUGUCUUUCCUCACCACCGUGCAUGUGGAAGGGGAGGACCCCCACCACCCCCCGCCUGCUCCUCUUUCCCCUUUCUCUUUAGCAAGGGGAAAGGCAAGCUGAGCUC